CUGGACAUACCCCACUUGCAAUAUCUUGGGUUGUCUACUUUUUCAAAUGGUAUGCCAUCAUGGGGGUAAAUCUCAUUCCUGGGCUACCACGCGGUCUCAAAGGUAACAUUACUAAUCUGGCAAAUUUCAAUGUAAAAAAAUGAAAAAUGGAAUGUGCUAUAUUUGACCCUUUAACUUUCCAAAACACCGUAAAAACUGUUAAUGGGGGCUACUGUUGUACUCUUGAGACUUUG